CAGGAUCUGCCCCCGGCCCCGCUGGGAUCCAGGCCUUCCAUUCUCCUGUUAAAGAAGCACCCCCCAGGCUCCCUCUGCCUGUGUGACUGGCCAGCAGGAGAUGGUGUUAACUUUCUAGCCACUUCUCACACUCUGUGAGACAGGCUGCAGAAUGACGUCCAUGUUUUGCUCCAGCUCAUCCCAGCCUGGCGUGGGACAGGGAAGAGAAAUGGCUGCAGUGGAGUCAGUCCAGGUAGAGAUUAUCGGGGGGUUGCUGGUGGGUUCCUGCUGGAGGAAAGGGAGAGCAA